CGAGAACGUGUGGAAAAGAACGGAAAAAUAACGGGAAAUAAAAACAGUUGUCGGACCUACGACAGCUCUCUUAGAAGUGCGCCACUUUAUUCGCCAAAUCGGUGAAGCCCAGUUUUUUCGGCUUGCCAGUCGUGUGUGCCAAACGGAGGAGCGGAAAAAGUGCCAGUUUAGCGAGUUGUGUGAUACAGACCCCAGAAUCCGCUGCAACGUGUUUUGUGUCGACAAUAGCGUCUUCUGGAGCUACCUGCCAAGCUUUCCCCGGCCAGACCCGGCUACUUUUGUUGUCUAUUUGGCGGAUCACGAUUGCUCGUUCCGAAGGUUACCGGUGUGCCACGUUUUGGCCCGGUCAAGGUGUGGAAAAAGUCUCGGAAGCCACCGGCGUGCCACGUGGGGGCCCGGCAAAAACGCUCAUCCUCGAAGAAGUCAUCCGACGGAAAUCGACGGCUAGCCACGAUACGGUACGGCCGGAGCAGCAAGUGUCGUCCAAAGGAAGAAAAAAACAGCCAAGUUUUGAAGGAUGCCACGCCAAGUCGUUGCUCGGGAUCCAGUGCCCACGGUACGCGCUGUCCCCGCUCGGCACUCAGCAGAAGUGAGAUUUGGUAUGUGAUGUGCAUUUCCUAUCAUUUCCUAAUCCCCAAUUAAGAAUGAAUAAUAAUAUAUAAUGUAAAUCUAA